AAAAAAAAAAAAAAAAAAAAAAAAAAAAAAAAAAAAAAAAAAACGUUCAACUUAGUGGGUUAUUAUAUAUUAUGUCCAUACAUAUUAUUUAUGUAAUUUUUUUAAGUGCAAAAUUUUUUUAAAAAAAUACUAAAAAAAAGCCAAAAAUAGUAGACAAAAAAAAUGACAAACUAAUAACAUAUAAAAAUUAUUUUUAUAGUAUAAAGUUUUUGUUAAUACUUGAUUCUUUUUUUUUUUACUUCUCGUGUUAGGUUAUAUGUGUUUGGUAUAACUUUGUGCUUUCACAUAAAGCUUCUUCACACAUAAAGCUUUUUCACGCACUCUCAUCCAAUAAAUUAAUAAUUGGAAAUUCUUUAUUUAACUUCCAUUAUUAGAACUUCACAAUGAUAAAUUUAGAGCUUCCGCUUUAUCAUUAUAUAUAUUUUUUAUUGGAUUUAUUUUGUGCAUUUGGUUAAAGGUAUAUUUUUUGACAGAAAAAGGUUUUUUUUCUUUAUGCGUUUUAUUUUGAAUAUCUUCCUUACGUGGAUUCAUUUCAUGGGUUUAUGGUUCCUUAUUGUGACAUAAUCUUUUAUUCAUACUAGGAUAUUUUUUUUCUUGUUUUAUAACAUUAGUUACUUCUUUCAUUAGAUGUACGUUGGGGUUUAAUAAUCUUUUUGUAAUCAUCUUUACUUCAGACUUUUUAAAAUUUUUUGUUUUAUUAUCAACAUAUACCUUUGUUUUUGAUCUAGUAAGCAUUCUUUUAAACUCCUUGUUAGCAUUUUUAUUUUUUUUAUUAUCUGCAUAAAUCAAGCUUUUAUUGUUUGUGUUCAAUUUUUUUUUCUUUGUCAUGGAACUAAUGCUUGACAACUCUUUUAAAGGAAUUUUUUCUGAAAAUACAUUUUUUUUGUUUAAAGCUAAAGUUUUCUGUUUUUUUAAUUUAACGUCAACCAUUGAUUUGGUUUUUUUUAAAAUGCUUUUUCUUCUUUGUAAUCCAUUAUUGCUUUUAAAAGUAAAAUUCAUAGUACUUUUUUUUAAUUUCAAUGAUUUGGAACUAUUUAAUCUGUUUUUUAUAUUCUUAAAAGUUAAUUCUUUUUUUUCAUUCUUUUUUUUUUUUUUUUUUGGAAGCAUUAGCAUUACCAUACGUUUUUAUUUGUCUUGUACAUUUACCUUGUUUAUUACGACUAAGGAAAACUUUAUUUUCUUUAAUUAAUUUUUGUAAUUCUUUUAAACUCUUAGCCGAAUUAAACAUAUGUAAUAACUCUUCCGUAUCUAGUUCUGUGCCUAGUUCUUUAGAAUUAAUUUCUUGUUUAGUCAUUAAACAUGGUUCAGUUUGGCUCUUUAAAUUAGUGUUGUUUUCAUUUUCCCUAUGUCGCAUGAACUUGUUUUUAUUACUCUCUUCAACUCUAUUAGUAUAAUAAAAACCUUCAGAACUUUUAUUAUAUGUUUUAU
rnacentral:lncRNA from 1 species